GAAAGGGAAUUAUCAGGUUCAGGUGAACUGAGAAGGGAACUCUACCCUUCUGCCGAGGAAGCUUUAAAACAUCUUUUGUGGUUGUCUGAUACAGAGGCAGUUUUUGAAGCUGCAUUAGGUCUUUAUGAUUUGAACCUUGCAGCUAUCGUCGCCUUGAAUUCACAAAAGGACCCGAAAGAAUUUCUUCCCUAUCUGCAAGAACUCGAGAACAUGCCAAUAGUAUUAAUGCGAUACAAUAUAGACCUGAAAUUGCAGAGGUUUGAGGCUGCGCUUCAGCAC
rnacentral:misc_RNA from 1 species